GGUUUAUGGAAAAAUUUGGAUUCCCAGGAGUUAUUGGGUGCAUUGAUGGAACCCAUGUUGCUAUAAUAAGGCCCACUGACCAUGAAGAAGCUUUUUUUAAUAGAAAACAUUAUCAUUCAUUAAAUGUUUUGCUGGUAUCUACCAUUCGACGCAUAGGGCAGCGUAGACCAGAAUUUGUACGACAAUUAUUUACAAAAAAAGAUCAAUGAUAAAAGAUCCAUGUCAAGUUGUUUGGUUUUGGCACUUGCGCUGAUGGCUGACUGUACAGUAUGUUAUACCUAUCUAUUGCAGAUUUGUGAUGCGAAUUUGCAAAUACUGCAUGUUGAUGCAUCCUAUGGAGGUGCAUCACAUGAUUCAUUUGUGUGGAACCAAUGCUGCAUUAAAUCUCACCUAGAAGGAUUGGAAAGAUCUGGGGAGCAUUGUUGGCUAUUAGGUGAUUCUGGAUAUGCACAACGCCCUUGGAUGAUGACACCUAUAUUAGAGGCUGCUGUCGGUUCACCAGAGGAACAUUACACCACACUGCAUUGCAAAGUUCGCAAUACCGUUGAGCGUUGCAUAGGUGUAUUAAAGAAUCGUUGGCGCUGUUUAUUAGCACAUAGGGUUCUUCACUAUGACCCAGUGACUGUGGCUAAAAUUGUGAAUGCAUGUGUUGUACUACACAAUAUAGCAAACAUACACAAUGUUCCUCUGCCGGAGCCUGAGAGUGAAGAGUCUGACUAUUUGGAACAGAGCCAAAUCUCCCAACAGAUUAGAGCUGCAGCAAAUCUAGAUAAUUCAAGGACCAGAGAUAUUCUAGUCCAAAGAUUAUGGAAUACCAGGACUAAUUUAUAAACUCUUCCUGGCAUUAUUAAUGGUUUAAGAAUAUUUAUCUAUUUAGUACAAAUCGCGAGGCGCCCCCAGACCCAGACCCAAAACCCUGAAAAUCGGGACAUUCGGCAACACUAUGUGUAAGAACUAAAGUUUAAAUAUUUACUUAAAACCAUUUUAUUUGAUUGGGAUGACUGUCGUUAAAAUAACUCAUUUUUUUUUCUUUCUUCACAUGUGGCUUCCCCGGCGACCACGGGCAUGCGAGGUGCAAGAUUCCCAGCACUUCCCCACCAAGGCGAGCUGAACGAGCCGCAGGAUGCGGUACCUAUUUCAAAACUUGGCUUACCAAGUAACAUUAUUUGAAUUAUAUAAUUUAAUUUCCUCUUAACAUAGUUGCAUUAAAAUAGUUUUAUAUAAUUUAUUCAUUCAAUACAUUAGCUUCACUUGCAUUGUAUAACUUUCUCAGGGAUAACUAGCACUAUAUGAAAAUUAUUGUAAAAAAUUGAUUUUUUUUAAAAGAGUGUCUAUGGAGUUUCUUGCCGGUUCUUCUCCAUGAGACCCACUCCUUGGAACCGUGCAACUAGCUUGACAUUUCGCAAGAGCUUUUCUACUUGUGAACUUUUAUGCGCCUAUUUUAAAUAAAUAAAAUAUAAUUUUA
rnacentral:misc_RNA from 1 species